rnacentral:rRNA from 1 species
AGAGUUUGAUCCUGGCUCAGGACGAACGCUGGCGGCGCGCCUAAUGCAUGCAAGUCGAACGAAGACCAACCCUCGGGUGAAGUCUUAGUGGCAGACGGCUGAGUAACGCGUGAGUGACCUGCCCUGGAGAGGGGGAUAACAUCGGGAAACCGAUGCUAAUACCGCGUACGCUCAUCAGUCCAAAGGCUGGUGAGGAAACGAAUUUCGCUCUAGGAGGGGCUCGCGUCCUAUCAGGUAGUUGGUGGGGUAAUGGCCUACCAAGCCGAAGACGGGUACCUGGUGUGAGAGCACGACCAGGCAGAGGGGGACUGAAACACGGCCCCCACUCCUACGGGAGGCAGCAGCAGGGAAUCUUCCACAAUGGGCGAAAGCCUGAUGGAGCGACGCCGCGUGAGGGAUGAAGGCUUUCGGGUCGUAAACCUCUUUUCUCAGGGAAGAGUAAGGACGGUACCUGAGGAAUAAGCAUCGGCUAACUACGUGCCAGCAGCCGCGGUAAUACGUAGGAUGCAAGCGUUGUCCGGAAUCACUGGGCGUAAAGGGUCCGUAGGCGGUUUGUUAAGUCUCCUGUGAAAGUUCAAGGCUCAACCUUGAAAUGUCGGGGGAUACUGGCAAACUUGAGACUGUCAGAGGCAAGUGGAAUUCCCGGUGUAGUGGUGAAAUGCGUAGAUAUCGGGAGGAACACCAGUGGCGAAAGCGGCUUGCUGGGACAGUUCUGACGCUGAGGGACGAGAGCGUGGGUAGCAAACCGGAUUAGAUACCCGGGUAGUCCACGCCCUAAACGAUGGAUGCUAGGUUUGCGGGGUAUCGACCCCCUGUGAGCCGUAGGAAACCCGUUAAGCAUCCCGCCUGGGGACUACGACCGCAAGGUUAAAACUCAAAGGAAUUGACGGGGGCCCGCACAAGCAGCGGAGCGUGUGGUUUAAUUCGAUGCUAAGCGAAAAACCUUACCAGGGCUUGACAUGUAGGUGGUACUGAUCCGAAAGGUGAGGGACCCGCAAGGGAGCCUACACAGGUGCUGCAUGGUUGUCGUCAGCUCGUGCCGUGAGGUGUUGGGUUAAGUCCCGCAACGAGCGCAACCCUUGUCGUUAGUUACACUCUCUAACGAGACUGCCCCUAAAAGGGAGGAAGGAGGGGAUGACGUCAAAUCAUCAUGGCUCUUACGUCCUGGGCUACACACACGCUACAAUGGCCAGUACAGACGGUUGCUAAGUCGCGAGGCGGAGCCAAUCCGACAAAGCUGGUCUCAGUUGGGAUUGCAGGCUGAAACUCGCCUGCAUGAACGUGGAGUUGCUAGUAACCGCAGGUCAGCAUACUGCGGUGAAUACGUUCCCGGGCCUUGUACACACCGCCCGUCACGUCAUGGAAGAUGGCAACACUUGAAGUCGCCGGGCUAACCCUUCGGGGAAGCAGGUGUCGAGGGUGGGGCUGUUGACUGGGACGAAGUCGUAACAAGGUA